rnacentral:misc_RNA from 1 species
UGUUUGUGAAAAAAAAAAGAAAUUAAUUCUUUUCCCUUCUUCUUCUUUCUGGAGAAACCUCUGAUGCUUGUAAUUUAUGAGUUAAUUGUGCUGGAGAAAAGGCUAAGUCUCCAACCUAACUGGCAAAUGAAUGAUUAUGAAUUCUCUAUAUAUGUUACUGUGGAGGGUGAAAGAGCUUUUUGUGUAGUGAAAGAAAGAGAUAUAACAGUGUUACUGCAAUGUAGUAUUUAAAAACUGCACCCUUUUUUCUCUCUUUCUUUCUUUCUGAUUCUAAAAUCUCUGCAAUGAAUCUCAAGGUUUACUGCAUCAAUGAUUAAGAUUUUUCAAAGAAAUGGGGGGGUAAUAGGACUGUGGGACCCAGACCUUAUCAGUUCCAGGUGUUGGCUCAGGUGCUGGGACCCAUAUGCUGGUCAUUGCCCAAACCAAUGUGCAAUGUCACUGACAAACAGGUGGAUCAUUCUUCUCUCUCUUUUUUUAUAGAGAUGGAUGGAAGAUUAGUUGCUUGCUGGCACCAUAGAGAUCGGUGGUGGGUGUUGAUGACCCUACUCUCACAGAUGACCCCACUGAUUUUAUUAAUCUGGACCGUUCGUUUGUGGGCCACCUUUUACGGGCACAUUGAAUGAUUGGGUCUCAGUGAGAAAAAUGUGGAAUCCGCAGUUUUCAUUCGAAUCACAUCCCCAGUUGUUACUGUCUUCUUCCCUCCAACAUCUUCGUUUCAAACCCUUCUCAUUUUCCUCUACUAAUUGGCAAAUGGAGCUUUCUUUCUAUAGAGGUUUAUAAUUAUGUGUUACCAGUAAAUCCAUCCUCUUUUUAUUUAACUGCCCUGGGGUUUCAUAUACUUGCACCACUUGUGAUAUCUAGUUUAAAGGGUUACAAAAUGUAACACAA